UGGGGAAUAUUGCACAAUGGGGGAAACCCUGAUGCAGCGACGCCGCGUGAGCGAUGAAGUAUUUCGGUAUGUAAAGCUCUAUCAGCAGGGAAGAUAAUGACGGUACCUGACUAAGAAGCUCCGGCUAAAUACGUGCCAGCAGCCGCGGUAAUACGUAUGGAGCAAGCGUUAUCCGGAUUUACUGGGUGUAAAGGGAGCGUAGGCGGUCCUGCAAGUCUGAUGUGAAAACCCGGGGCUCAACCCCGGGACUGCAUUGGAAACUGUAGGACUAGAGUGUCGGAGGGGUAAGUGGAAUUCCUAGUGUAGCGGUGAAAUGCGUAGAUAUUAGGAGAAACACCAGUGGCGAAGGCGGCUUACUGGACGACCACUGACGCUGAGGCUCGAAAGCGUGGGGAGCAAACAGG
rnacentral:rRNA from 1 species